rnacentral:rRNA from 1 species
GAUGAACGCUGGCGGCGUGCCUAAUACAUGCAAGUCGAGCGAACAGACGAGGAGCUUGCUCCUCUGACGUUAGCGGCGGACGGGUGAGUAACACGUGGAUAACCUCCCUAUAAGACUGGGAUAACUUCGGGAAACCGGAGCUAAUACCGGAUAACAUGUUGAACCGCAUGGUUCAACAGUGAAAGACGGUUUUGCUGUCACUUAUAGAUGGAUCCGCGUCGCAUUAGCUAGUUGGUAAGGUAACGGCUUACCAAGGCAACGAUGCGUAGCCGACCUGAGAGGGUGAUCGGCCACACUGGAACUGAGACACGGUCCAGACUCCUACGGGAGGCAGCAGUAGGGAAUCUUCCGCAAUGGGCGAAAGCCUGACGGAGCAACGCCGCGUGAGUGAAGAAGGUCUUCGGAUCGUAGAACUCUGUUAUUAGGGAAGAACAAAUGUGUAAGUAACUAUGCACGUCUUGACGGUACCUGAUCAGAAAGCCACGGCUAACUACGUG